AUUGAACGCUGGCGGCAUGCCUUACACAUGCAAGUCGAACGGCAGCACGGGUGCUUGCCCCUGGUGGCGAGUGGCGAACGGGUGAGUAAUACAUCGGAACAUGUCCUGUAGUGGGGGAUAGCCCGGCGAAAGCCGGAUUAAUACCGCAUACGAUCUACGGAUGAAAGCGGGGGACCUUCGGGCCUCGCGCUAUAGGGUUGGCCGAUGGCUGAUUAGCUAGUUGGCGGGGUAAAGGCCUACCAAGGCGACGAUCAGUAGCUGGUCUGAGAGGACGACCAGCCACACUGGGACUGAGACACGGCCCAGACUCCUACGGGAGGCAGCAGUGGGGAAUUUUGGACAAUGGGCGAAAGCCUGAUCCAGCAAUGCCGCGUGUGUGAAGAAGGCCUUCGGGUUGUAAAGCACUUUUGUCCGGAAAGAAAUCCUUGGCCCUAAUACGGUCGGGGGAUGACGGUACCGGAAGAAUAAGCACCGGCUAACUACGUG
rnacentral:rRNA from 1 species